GGCUGGGUCGGGCCGGGCAGUCUGGGACGCGCCGCCGCCAUGAUCAUCCCUGUACGCUGCUUCACUUGUGGCAAGAUCGUCGGCAACAAGUGGGAGGCUUACCUGGGGCUCCUGCAGGCCGAGUACACCGAGGGGGAUGCGCUGGACGCCCUGGGCCUGAAGCGUUACUGCUGCCGCCGGAUGCUGCUGGCCCACGUGGACCUGAUCGAGAAGCUGCUCAAUUAUGCACCCCUGGAGAAGUGACCACGCUGGAGCCCACCCACCUGCUGUGCUGACCAUGGGCCCUGAGCGUCCUGCCCCGAAUUCACGAGGCUGAGGCAUCCGGGAGCUGGCGCAAUGCCUGGCCGCAGCGUGUGUGUAUCCCGUCCCCCACUCUGGAAGGAACCAUCCAGUAAAGAUGUUGGAGGCAUGGUCCCGCUGCCCACAACCAGCCACCACCGUCUUGCAGCAGCUGUCAGGGACCACGCGGCCACCAGCCUCCCCUGAGCGGAUCCACUCACUGUCUCGCCAGUCCUGUGAGUUGUUGCUGCCACAGCAGUGGAACUGCAUCAAAAACAAGGCUGGGGGUAAGACCUGGGGCCAGAGGCUCCUGCAGAGGUCCAGGGAGGCCCUGGGGAUGCACGCGCCCUCCCAGCACCACCCACCCACCUCCUGCUGCAGCUGGUCCACGGCGCUGGUCACAGCCUCAUGGCCCGGCUGGUGGUAGCGCUUGGUCAUGGUGUCCCUCAGGUUCUCCUUGAGCUCCGUGUUCAGCUGCGGUUGGGGUGCAGGAAACUUCAGCCUCAGUCUAAGACCUUCCAAGGUGGGGCUGGCAGAGCCCCAGGAUGGCCGGCGGGGAGGCCCAGGGCCCGGCUCAGAGCCACAGGGAAGGGCUGAGGUCAGACCUCGGCGUGAGGGGAGGUUGGGUGGUGCCAGGACCGUCACCAGGGUGACAAUGGAGUGUGGCAGAGGCAGAGAGGGCUUCUGGAUCCCCUGGACACCUGCCUGACCCCAUGUGCCCCUGCAGAGACCUAGACCCCACCUCCAGGGCCCAGUAGCAUGUUGGUCAGCUCUGGGACCAUGGGGGUGGGGGUCGGGGCUAGCCACGCGUGUGCAUCUGUGUGUGUCCGCCCCGCCUGUGCAUGUCUAUCUCUGAAUGGCCUGCCCAGGCCUCUCACCUGCUGGUAGUAGGCGUAGGCGAGGAUACCAGCGAUGAUCUCCAGCAGAAAGAUGAUGAGGAGCAGGAUGAAGUACUGAGGGGGGCACAAGGGCACCCUUGUUCUGAGGCCUAGUGCCUAGGCCUAGUGCACCUCAGAGCAGAGUCCCCACCCCGGCUCCCCAGGUUCCAGGUGGGGGCUGAGGGGCGGCCACCCUCCCUGAAGCUUUCUUGCAGAGCUGGUGUCUUCCCUCAGCUGGUCCAGCGGGAACGUGGGGACCCACAGGACUAGGCAGGUGUGGAAGGACCGUGACCCCCCCAGGUGAGCACAGCAAGGCACAGGUUCAAAGCCUGCAGCGACAACCUCCUUGGGCCCAUCCGCACCACCCCCACCCCGUGGCCCUGUGCCCUCCUGACCAGGCGCAGCAGGUUCCGACGUUCCUUGAAGGUGGCACAGCAGCCCAAGACCCCAGUCACCAUGACGACAGUGCCCGCCACCACCAGGAUGUAGGCUGUGGCCAGGUAGGUGCCCGAGGCCAGCAGGCUGAUGUAGUCACUCUUGAGGGCCAGCGUCCAGAUGCCCACUGCCAUGACAGCCAGGCCGGCCAGCUACAAGCAGUACACAAUGGUCACCGCGUCUGCCCAGGUCUGAUGGUGGCCCGGGAGGGGUGGGGGUGGGGGUGGGGGCAAGGCGACCCCUCCUCACCCAGAAGCAGCAGUUGUAGGUAAAGAGCAGGUACUUGAGGCAAA